rnacentral:rRNA from 1 species
AACGCUGGCGGCGUGCCUAAUACAUGCAAGUCGAACGCACAGCGAUAGGUGCUUGCACCUAUCAAGUGAGUGGCGAACGGGUGAGUAACACGUGGACAACCUGCCUCAAGGCUGGGGAUAACAUUUGGAAACAGAUGCUAAUACCGAAUAAAACUUAGUGUCGCAUGACACCAGGUUAAAAGGCGCUACGGCGUCACCUAGAGAUGGAUCCGCGGUGCAUUAGUUAGUUGGUGAGGUAAAGGCUCACCAAGACAAUGAUGCAUAGCCGAGUUGAGAGACUGAUCGGCCACAUUGGGACUGAGACACGGCCCAAACUCCUACGGGAGGCUGCAGUAGGGAAUCUUCCACAAUGGGCGCAAGCCUGAUGGAGCAACGCCGCGUGUGUGAUGAAGGCUUUCGGGUCGUAAAGCACUGUUGUAUGGGAAGAACAGCUAGAAUAGGGAAUGAUUUUAGUGUGACGGUACCAUACCAGAAAGGGACGGCUAAAUACGUG